rnacentral:tRNA from 5 species
UAGAAAAUAAUAUAAGGGAAGUAUGGAGGGUUUUGAUCUCUCUAGUGCGGGUUCGAUUCCUGCUUUUCUAA